AAAAACACUAUUUGCUGCAGAAUCAUUUCCAUCACAAAUUAAAAUCAAAGGCUAUAGAAUCAGAGUAGAAUCAAGAAGUUCAUCUGGGAAUCAAAGAAAAUUUAUCCAUUCGAUGAUUAAACUCUCUGUACAAAGGAAGAAACACUAAUUACCCCGCAGAAUACAUGAAGAAAAACAAUAAAAAUGUUAAUCUCUCUCUAAUUAGCACCAAAGAAAUAUCCUGGAUCCACUAGCUGCUAAAAACACUAUUUGCUGCAGAAUCAUUUCCAUCACAAAUGAAAAUCAAAGGCUAUAGAAUCAGAGUAGAAUCAAGAAGUUCAUCUGGGAAUCAAAGAAAAUUUAUCCAUUCGAUGAUUAAACUCUCUGUACAAAGGAAGAAACACUAAUUACCCCGCAGAAUACAUGAAGAAAAACAAUAAAAUGUUAAUCUCUCUCUAAUUAGCACCAAAGAAAUAUCCUGGAUCCACUAGCUGCUAAAAACACUAUUUGCUGCAGAAUCAUUUCCAUCACAAAUGAAAAUCAAAGGCUAUAGAAUCAGAGUAGAAUCAAGAAGUUCAUCUGGGAAUCAAAGAAAAUUUAUCCAUUCGAUGAUUAAACUCUCUGUACAAAGGAAGAAACACUAAUUACCCCCGCAGAAUACAUGAAGAAAAACAAUAAAAAUGUUAAUCUCUCUCUAAUUAGCACCAAAGAAAUAUCCUGGAUCCACUAGCUGCUAAAAACACUAUUUGCUGCAGAAUCAUUUCCAUCACAAAUGAAAAUCAAAGGCUAUAGAAUCAGAGUAGAAUCAAGAAGUUCAUCUGGGAAUCAAAGAAAAUUUAUCCAUUCGAUGAUUAAACUCUCUGUACAAAGGAAGAAACACUAAUUACCCCGCAGAAUACAUGAAGAAAAACAAUAAAAAUGUUAAUCUCUCUCUAAUUAGCACCAAAGAAAUAUCCUGGAUCCACUAGCUGCUAAAAACACUAUUUGCUGCAGAAUCAUUUCCAUCACAAAUUAAAAUCAAAGGCUAUAGAAUGAAGAAGUUCAUCUGGGAAUCAAAGAAAAUUUAUCCAUUCGAUGAUUAAACUCUCUGUACAAAGGAAGAAACACUAAUUACCCCGCAGAAUACAUGAAGAAAAACAAUAAAAAUGUUAAUCUCUCUCUAAUUAGUCACUAAACUCAGGCCAAAACUUUGAGCAGCCUGCCGGAGGUUUAGUACUUGUGAGCUAGCCGGGCAGCACAACAUUUCUUGCGGGGAGAAAACAUAGAAGCAAAAGUAUGGGCCAGACCCAGAACUAUCGCCACCUUAACUUGCCCUCUCUUGGGGAUCAUACGGCCAUAAAACCUCCGUGAGUAACUUACACCAUUGAUCAUCACACUAGCUGCCAUCUCUGUUCUUCUUCUUCUUCUUCCUUCUCUUGGAGAGUGAAAAUGUGAGAGAGCAAGAAAAGUUGUUGAGACUUGGGAGUGGAAUGUGUUGGU
rnacentral:lncRNA from 1 species